UGAGGAAUAUUGGGCAAUGCCCGCAAGGGUGACCCAGCAACGCCGCGUGGAGGAUGAAUGUCGUAAGAUUGUAAACUCCUGUUAGAGGGGAAGAAUAGUACCGGUUGGACCGGUAUAUGACUGUACCCUCAGAGAAAGCCCCGGCUAACUACGUGCCAGCAGCCGCGGUAACACGUAGGAGACGAGCGUUAUCCGGAUUUACUGGGUGUAAAGCGCGUGCAGGCGGUAUGGAAAGUUGGAUGUGAAAGCUCCCGGCUUAACUGGGAGAGGUCGUUAANAACUACCAAACUAGAGUACAGCAGAGGGGAGUGGAAUUCCGAGUGUAGCGGUAAAAUACAUAGAUAUUCGGAAGAACACCAGUGGCGAAGGCGGCUCCCUGGGCUGAAACUGACGCUCAGACGCGAAAGCUAGGGUAGCGAACG
rnacentral:rRNA from 1 species